rnacentral:rRNA from 1 species
UACGUAGGGGGCAAGCGUUGUCCGGAUUUAUUGGGCGUAAAGAGCGUGUGAGGCGGCCUGGGUAGGUCCGCUGUGAAAACUCGAGGCUCAACCUCGAGAUGUCGGCGGAAACCAUCUUGCUAGAGUCCGGAAGAGGAGAGUGGAAUUCCCGUGGUAUAGCGGUGAAAUGCGCAGAUAUCGGGAAGAACACCUAUGGCGAAGGCAGCUCUCUGGGACGGUACUGACGCUGAGACGCGAAAGCGUGGGGAGCGAACAGG